ensembl:lncRNA
AAAGUGCUUUACACAACCAGUCAUCCACCCAUUCACACACACUGGUGAUGGCAAGCUACAUUGUAGCCACCCUGGGGCGCACUGACAGAGGUGAGGCUGCCAGACACUGGCGCCACCGGGCCCUCUGACCACCACUAGUAGGCAACGGGUGAAGUGUCUUGCCCAAGGACACAACGACCGAGACUGUCCGAGCCGGGGCUCGAACCGGCAACCUUCCGGUUACAAGACAAACUCCCAACUCUUGAGCCACGAUCGCCCCGUUGUAACAUAUUGGCAGUCUUUUUUUUUUCUUUUUUUUUUUGAAAUGCCUGGCACUAUGACACAAAACAAACAGCACCCUGAUUGUAACGUCACGGCAGGUUUUUUAGUCUCAGGGAACAGCCGUAUUUGUGUACAGUGGGUGGGGUCAAUGUUGGAAAAAUGCUCUCAGGUUGCAUCAGUGUUUAAGAAUGUAUCUUAUGCGAAGGUCAGAGAGUAGAGGGGGGGUCAGGAGACUGGAAAAAAGCAGGGUGUGUUAAAAGUGAUUGAUUCUGCUGUGAUGAGCAGAAAGAAAAUCAAGUGUACAAUCAGAGGAAAGGGCAAUUUAAAAAUAGAUAGCAGACUGGAAUCUCAGGUUUACCUGAAGGCAUUACAAGUUCUGACACACCUUUCUCAGCUCUUCUGGAAUCUGGUAUGAAAUAAGAAACAGUUGUAAGUCUGUGCAUUAUGUAUCAGUGCGACUACUGAGGAAGAGAAAGGAAAAUCUAAACUGAAAUAAAAUAUGAGAACUAACGCAACACUGUGAGGUAAUAACAAGCUGACACAUUUUAUGAGUGGGAGUGGAGACGGGGGGGAAAGAGGGCAGGGCAGUAAAGGGGAAAUGGGAGUGGAAGUCGCAAACAGAGUUUCACCAAAGGCUAUUCUUCCUGUCAUUCAACAGCUUGUGUAGAACAGGAACAGAUCAGGUUUAUGUCGUCUCUCUACAAUCACAGUAGCGCUCUUUGGAUGUCCAUUUGUAAAUAUUUAACUGAAAUCUUCACAUAUUAAAGGAAGGCAGCUCGAGUUGGAAAAGACCUGCUGACCAUCUCAACAAGGCUUUGAUAUCACUCUGAGAAGAAGCCGGACAAACUUUGAACAAAGAUCAGACUGAGGAGUGGAUUCAGGACACUGCCUUUUAAAACUUGCUCAGGUUUGUACUUGAUUUCAGCCUUUGAAUGCGGUCUAAGUGGUUGUCAUAGUGAUUAAAAAAAUCUUAGCUCCCUAGUUGUUAAUACUCUGUUUGCCUUGUAGAACCACCUUUAAGAUUUUGGUGUACAGCAGUGUUUGAUCAAAGCUUACUUAAUCGCCUCAUGUUUACUGUUGUAUUCCACUUCAUGUGAAGGGUGGAGGACGGAGUUUUCUCCCUCUUCACUACAAAUGAUUCGCAGCCCUGCAUGUGUAAUAUUACACUCGGCUCAUACAUUUUCUCAUCUCUUACCAAAAAAUGCACAAUGUAGGUGUCGCCCGCCCGGCUCUUUUAAAUCAGAGGCUAGAUAAGUAACACUUCAGGCUUCAACUUGCCGUAACAACCUGCCCACCAAGCUAGUUUUUCAAGCUAUUACUUUAUUUUUUUAUUUUUAGUAACAGGGGAACACUGUUACGCACGCUGCUCACUGUAUUGCAACAUUCUUCAAAAUAUACUUUCUGUUUCUUAUGGAAAUACCCAGUCCUCACUCACAUUCUCAAGAAUACACCACAUUUUUUUGCAGAGCGUGUUUAAACCCGUGGGAAACAUUUAUUUUAAAUUCUUUUGAAUCUGAAUCGAAAUUGUUUUGUUCAGUGGUGGAGAAAACCGGUUUACCUGAGCAGGGUUUGUCCUUUGAAAACAAACUAGUUCCUUAAAGUUGCUUUUAUCUUGAAAAAUCAAACAUGUCUAUCAAGCAGCCGUCAAACUGUCCGUUCAGUGUUUCUGUGCACACAAAAUGUUUAAGCGUGUUUGAGAUGUUCGUUUUUUGUCUUUUGGGUCAAACUUUCCCUAACUUUACGUCAUAUUUUGCAGAGAUGUCAGAGUCAUCCCAGAACCAUCUAAACAACCUUGAAAGUCUUCCACUGACUACUGUAACAGGAACAGGUCUUCAACAACCCGAGGAAACCUGCAGUCAAGUAAUCUGUGAGGACUCUACUGCGUCCUGCUGCAAUGACAAGUACCACAGGAAACUGGCCGUCUGUAGCAUCAUCUGCGGGUUUUCCUGCUGCGGAGUCCCAGCUUUGAUUUAUUCUGUCAAGGCUGAGGAUGCUGAAAAAGCUGAGAAGGCCGAGCCGACGACAGACAGGAGAGCUCCAGAGUAUUUAAGACAGGCCAAAAAAUGGGGCAUCAUCUCCAUCGUGACGUGGGUUUCCGUUCUAGUGUCAGCUCCAUUGCUGCUGGCACUGGGCUCAUAUCUCGCCACUUUGAUUGACUGAUCAACCUCAAAGGAGAACAGCCAGAGGAGUGUCUCUGCUGAUGUUUAAGGAGACGGACAGUGGAGAGCAGGAAGCUGCUGAAUCAAUGGCUACGAACACCAAAGCUGUGGAGAAACUACAGGUUACAUUAAAUGGAAAAAGGCUGUCUUGGUUUUUCUUACGCUGAAAUGGGUGCUGUCCUAAUUUAUACUUUUCUAGCUCCUUUAGUUUUUACACAAAGAACAAACAUCUUUCAAAAUAGUAUUAAAUGUCUAACAACUGUUUUUGUUAUAUGCUGUGAUAUUUAUUAAACCAUCUGUUGACCCGUGGACUAUACGAACGUACAUGUAUAUAUUAUAGAUUGAAGACUAAAGCUGUUAUAUAUAAUAUAAAGCUACUUAAAUGUAAAGCUGCUCCCGUAAAGACUCAAUCCUUAAUAUUCUUACAGUUAUACUUUAACUUUCUUACUGUAGAUGACUACAGAUGCUAUAUAAGUUAAUCAAUCAAUCAACAAGUCACUUUAAAAUGAGGCAACUUGUGACUUUAGGAUUGAGUCUCUACUGGAGAUAAAAUGCGAGGCAGUGAUUGGGGCAGUGCUUUAUCAGGACAUUAUGAGGUCCUGUUCUUGCUAUUUUAGUUUAUUAAUGUCAAAUGUAUAUAUAUGCUGCACUUUUAUACAAACAUUAACAAACAAUUUUAUAAUAAAAUGAGGAAACUUUUAUGGUCUUCAUCCACUUGAAACAUUUUAACAUGUACUCAUUAAAAAAACGUUGCCAUGGGAUUAUUGCAUUGUUACAAUAUUUACUUCAUUAAUGUCAAAUGUAUAUAUAUACACAUGUUGUACUUUUAUACAAGCAUUAACACAAGCUGUUUUCUAAUAAAAUGACAGAUUUUUUAUGCUUUGA